CGGUGCUGCCGGUGCUGCCGGUGCUGCCGGUGCUGCCGGUGCCGCUGCUCAUCCUCCCCGCCCGGCCCGGCCCGGCCAGCUCUCACCAUCUUAACGCCGCCGCCGCUGCUGCACCAUGCGGGGACGCUCCGCCGGUGGCCCUGCGGUGACACCGCUGGUGGCGGCAGCAGGAGGAGGAGGAGGAGGAGGAGGAAGAGGAGGAGAGGGUUUGCUCGGAAGCGGAAUUCCAGCGGGUGUCGCCCAGGAGGAAGGGUGGCGGGUCCGGUGUCCGGCUGUCCUCCUGCGGGGACAGAGGGACAAGGGACGGGAAGGUUCUUGGGGAGGGUUCAGGCUGCUCCUCGCCGCAAAUUGUGGGGGGCAGGAUGGGGGUUGGGAGUGUCGCUGGGAAUGUCACCCCCUCCCCUUCCACCCCGCCUCUGUGGGCUCCCGCUGUCCUCCCCAGGCUGAGCUUGGCAGGGUGGGACCGCGGGGGAUGGACAGAGGGACAGGGGGACAAGGACAGGGACACCCAGGGGGACACAGGGACACGGACAGGGACACCCAGGGGGACACAGGGACACGGACAGGGACACCCAGGGGGACACGGGGACACGGACAGGGACAGGGACACCCAGACGGACACCCAGAGGAACAGGGGGACAGACAGGGGAACAGAGGGACACCCAGGGGGACACAGACAGGGACACCCGGAGGGACAGAGGGGACACCCAAAGGGACAGGGGGACACGGACAGGAACAGAGGGACACACACAGGGACAGGAGGACACCCAGAGGGACACGGGGACACGGACAGGGACACCCCGGGGACACGGGGACACUCUGCACUCACCGGCGCGCUCCGGCCGCUCCCGGGCUCCGCUCCGAGCUCUUCCCGCUCCUGUUUUCCCCCGGCUCCUUCCCUCGCUUCCUCCUCCUCCUCCUCUUCCUCCUCCUCCUCCUCCUCGCCGCCGGCUCCCGCCUCCCUCAGGGCUUUUCCGCGGGGGCCGGGGCCGCUCUGCUCCGCUCGCUGUGGCGGGGGGGACACGUUACGUUACCGGCGGGGACAGCCCGGCGGGGACAGCCCGGCGGGGGAGUGACAGCGGCCCCGGGGCCCCUCCCGGAGCCCUUCCCGCUGCCAUCCCCCCAGCCCGGCGCGCUCCGGUGCCGGCCCCGCCCCGGCCGCGGCGGGGGGAGAACGCGCCGUGCCCCCGAGUGCCCCCCCGGGAACCGGGAACGGCGCGGGGGGAGCGGGGCGGGGCGGGGGGAGCGGGCUCGGGGGUGCGCACGGGGAGCGGGGAUCGGUAGGGCCGCGUUUCCCUCGCCGGUACCGGCAUCCUCCAGCCACGGUGCCGGCAGCACUCAGCCCCGGUACAUCCCCGGUACAUCCCCGGUGCAUCCCCGGUACAUCCUCGGUACAUCCCCCAUCCCCGGUACCGGCAAUCCCCAGCCCCGGUACCGGCAGCCCUCAGCCCCGGUACCGGCAUCUCCCAUCCCCAGAACCGGCAACUCCCAGCCCCGGUACCGGCAAUCCCCAUCCCCGGUACCGGCAAUCUCCAGCCCCGGUACCGGCAUCUCUCAGCCCCGGUACAUGCCCGGUACAUCCCCUAUCCGCCGUACCGGCAAUCCCCAGCCCCGGUACCGCCAUCCCCCAGCCCCGGUACCGGCAUCUCUCAGCCCCGGUACCGGUACAUCCUCGGUGCAUCCCUCAGCCCGGGUACCGGCAAUCCCCAGCCCCGGUACCGGCCAUCCCCAGCCCCGGUACCGGCAAUCCCCAGCCCCGGUACCGGCAAUCCCCAGCCCCGGUCCCCGCGUCCUCCGGGGCUCCGGGGAUGGAGGGUGCCGGUAUCCGCAGCUUCCAGCCCCGCUCUCCGAAUCUCU
ensembl:lncRNA